rnacentral:rRNA from 1 species
CCUACGGGAGGCAGCAGUGGGGAAUAUUCGGCCAUGGGCGCAAGCCUGACCCAGCAACGCCGCGUGAAGGAAGAAGGCUUUCGGGUUGUAAACUUCUUUUAUGAGGGAAGAGCAGAAGUCGGUACCUCAUGAAUAAGCUACGGCUAACUACGUGCCAGCAGCCGCGGUAAUCCGUAGGUGGCAAGCGUUGUUCAGAUUUACUGGGUGGAAAGGGCGUGCGGCCGGGAAGAAAAGUCAGAUGUGAAAUCCCGUGGCUCAACCGCGGAAUGGCAUUUGAAACUGUUUUUCGUGAGUACCGGAGAGGACAGCGGAAUUCCAUGUGUAGCGGUGAAAUGCGUAGAUAUAAGGAAGAACACCAGUGGCGAAGGCGGAUGACUGGACGGCAACUGACGGUGAGGCGCGAAAGCGUGGGGAGCAAACAGGAUUAGAUACCCGUGUAGUC